rnacentral:rRNA from 1 species
UGAACGCUAGCGGCAGGCUUAAUACAUGCAAGUCGAGGGGUAACAGGUCCUUCGGGAUGCUGACGACCGGCAAACGGGUGAGUAACGCGUAUGCAAUCUACCUCUAACAGGGGCACAACUUCGGGAAACUGGAGCUAAUUCCCCAUAAUACUAUGAAGUCGCAUGGCUUUAUAAUUAAAAUUCCGAUGGUUAGAGAUGAGCGUGCGUUCGAUUAGAUAGUUGGCGGGGUAACGGCCCACCAAGUCGACGAUCGAUAGCUGAUGUGAGAGCAUGAUCAGCCACACGGGCACUGAGACACGGGCCCCGACUCCUACGGGAGGCAGCAGUAGGGAAUAUUGGGCAAUGGAGGAAACUCUGACCCAGCCAUGCCGCGUGAAGGAUGAAGGUCCUACGGAUUGUAAACUUCUUUUAUAAGGGAAGAAACGUCUCGA